rnacentral:rRNA from 1 species
AAUGAACGUUGGCGGCGCGGAUUAGGCAUGCAAGUCGCGCGAGAAGUCAUUUAGCUUGCUAAAAGACGGACAGCGGCGGAAGGGAGAGUAACGCGUGGUUAUGUACCCUCGAGACCGGGAUAGUGUCGGGAAACUGGCAGUAAUACCGGAUAACAUCUUCGGAUCAAAUGGUGUGAUUCCGCUCGAGGAUCGGACCGCGUACUAUUAGCUAGUUGGAGGGGUAAUGGCCCACCAAGGCUUAGAUGGUUACCGGGUGUGAGAGCAUGGCCCGGCUCACUGGGACUGAGACACUGCCCAGACAUCUACGGAUGGCUGCAGUCGAGAAUCUUCGGCAAUGGACGAAAGUCUGACCGAGCGACGCCGCGUGCGGGAUGAAGGCCUUCGGGUUGUAAACCGCUGUCAGUUAGGAGGAAAUCCAUGAGGGUUCUCUCUCAUGGUUGACCGAUUUUCAGAGGAAGGACGGGCUAAGUUCGUGCCAGCAGCCGCGGUAAUAC